GGUCAUCCCCGGUUUGUGCGUGUGAUGUGGUUAAUAAGAGGGAGGAGAUUAUCUGGUCUAUGGGUGUAUAUAUAUCAGUUGACCAUAUUGGACUCAUAUUGGAAAUACUGCUGGGUUCACUUGGAUUUUUCUAAACCGGACAAGAAGAGGGGAAGCUCGACAUGGACCAUCAACUCAGAAUCCAACACAAUCCAAUCCAUUAUGCAGUACUGCUUCUCCUGGCGGUCCAGUGGGGGCGUGUCCUCCCGAUGCCCAUUCUGGACCAGAGUGUGUGUAACGGCGCUUUACGUCUGACAGAGACCCUCCAGCACGAAGCCAGUCAGUUGCUGGACAACUAUGUGCUCAUCCAUCAGUUUCAGGCUGAUUCCAUCCCAGAAGACGUUCCUGAUGCCAAGGUGAAUGGUAACAGCCCCGCUGAGAAACUGUACAGCAUCGCUGUGCAGGAAAUGCUGUUCUACCAGCACCUCAAUGUCGUAGAGGCAUACAGCAUGGACUUAUGGGCCAACCCAGACCCCAGCCUACAGGACGCCUUCAAAACGGCAAAACUUCGAUUGUCAAAACAUUAUCAGAAGAUGGGGGAGCUUCUGAAUGCAGUUGACCCCAACUUUAAUUCUCCAACCACGCCGGCUCCCCGAAGCUCAGCAUCGAGGGCGGCUAUGCCAAUAAACAUUAUGGCUGGGGGGUUUUAUCAAACCUAAAGGUCCUGUUAAACAAUGUGGAGCAAGAGCUCAAAAGUGUUUGUGGGGAAGAGUUACAAAACCUAUAAUCUGUCUAACCUUUAUUAUGUCUUAUAUAUUUAUAUAUUUAUUGAAUGUUUUUAUACUGAUUGAUAUUUAUUUGUUUGAUGGUGAUUCCAAACCCUUUUUCCUCACAGCCUAAAGUAGCCAUUGCCCAUGUUAAAUUGUAUGUUUAUUUAUUGUACUUAUUUAUAAAUUCUGGUUAGGUGCCUGUUCUAUUCGUGCCUGUUUGGAACAUGCAAUAAUUUGUAAACAUAUUUGUAUUUAUUUAUAGAUGUAUUUAUUAAUGUUUUGAGAAAGACAAGUGUAAAUUUUAAACUAUGAUUUUUUUCUAGAUAUUUGUAUUUAAAUAUUUAUUUAAUAUGAUUGCCUAACAUGGCACCUAUUGGGAUUACGUAAGAGCCACUGUAUACACACACUGUUUAUAAGCCUAGGUGCUGUUUAUGUAAAGAGUAAAGAUUUUAUUUUUUAUUAAACUGUAUUUUCAUACUAUGACUAUGACUAAGUAGUGUUGAUUCAAAAACGUUGAAUACAUUUGAUAUGAACAAUGUUUUUAUCUCACCCACAAAGACAGGAAUAAACCUAUUUAUUUAAGAGUUACUAUGUUGUACCACAUUGAAUUCACUACUAUUAUGUGGCUUCAACUGUAUACAUUUAUACAGUUUGCUACAUUUGACCACACUAAAUGUACCUGUGAGUGUGGAUGAUGGCUGGUUUAAGCAGCAUCACCUUGCCCGAGUCAGACAGAUUGGACUCUUGGUGAGGCUGCACACGUGUGGUGCAUUGGGCGAUCAAUGCACACAGAAUAACCAUAACCAGCCGUCACCACACACACUCAAGGAGAGCUCUGACAUGCCAGAACAGAACACCUGC
ensembl:lncRNA